AGACAGAGACAGCUGCGGCUCCACGAUCAGCCAUCAGGGGGCAGUGCUGGGCUUCAUUCAGCCACUCAAUGGAACUGUAACGUUAAGCAGCAGCACAGUUCAUCUGAGAGAUUCAUCUUUAUAAACCUCAUCAUGGCCCCCCUCCCUGGAGAAGCAAACAGUUGUGUGUCUUUUCACCAGCUGGGUCUUUUGUGUGAGAGGACUUCAUUUCCUCCUCGCUGCCUGUCAGCUGCUGUCAGGCAGAGAGUGGGACAGCUGAACCCGCAGCAGCUGAGAGACACCUACAGAUCAGGCGAGGUGUCACAAGUUGCCUGGGAUCACAUUUUGUCCUUCUCUCAUGACGCUUACGAUAUUGUGGUUUGGUUGGCUGUUCAGCAGCGGCUACAAAGAUGUGAAACUGAACAAGGAGACUUUCACUCUCGGCUCUCAUUUGCCCUCAGAUGGGAUCAGCUGCGUCAAAACCGAGGUCAGCAUGAGAUAAAGCCAUGCACUUCCACAGAGGCAUCCGGCAUAUCUGAAGCAGAGUUCACGUGGAAAUCUCUGAGAAAGGAGUCACGGCCAAGCGCCUCCAGACAGUGCAGGCCUCGGGCAAAGUACGGCAGGAGACAGCUGGAGUCCUUCUCUACUGAGGAAUCAACAAGCUUAUUACGGGUCAUCAGUAAAAACACGUAGAUGCUGACUUCUCUGAAUGACCAAAAUGAUGACAUCUCCGUGUAUUGCAAAAAUCCUGAACGCAAACGCAGAAGUUGGCAACACACGUACUCCCACAUAUUCAGCAUGAAGUGGACACUUUACAGAUAUCUUAUUAUCAUUUCUUAUAAUCAUACAGGUCAAACAUCGGGGUCUCACCGGCCUCAGCAUCAGAAAUAUACAACCACUAAAUCAUUUCAAGGUUACCACGGAAUGUUUCUUUUUGCUCAUUUGAACAGAGACAACAAAAAUCCAUGAUGUGAUGAUUGAUGACAUGAAGGCGGAACUUGUAAUUCAUGGUCUAUUACUGGUCUGAGAUUUUAUCCAAAUGUAAACAUGUGAUGUUGUUCUUUGUGUACUGAGUAACCAUCUGUUGUACUUUGUUUUGUCUUAUGUGGAGUAAGCAAGUAUUAAAAAAAACAGUGGAGGGGUAAGACAGUACAAAGCUUCUCUGUUUCAGAAUUACAUACCCUGCAGGCUCUUCUUCUGCCUGGCUGUUCUGGUAGUUUCGCCUCGAUGUGGCGGGAGAGGCUG